AGCUAGUUGGUGAGGUAACGGCCCACCAAGGCGACGAUCGGUAGCCGGACUGAGAGGUUGAACGGCCACAUUGGGACUGAGACACGGCCCAGACUCCUACGGGAGGCAGCAGUGGGGAAUAUUGCACAAUGGGGGAAACCCUGAUGCAGCGACGCCGCGUGGAGGAAGAAGGUCUUCGGAUUGUAAACUCCUGUUGUUGAGGAAGAUAAUGACGGUACUCAACAAGGAAGUGACGGCUAACUACGUGCCAGCAGCCGCGGUAAAACGUAGGUCACAAGCGUUGUCCGGAAUUACUGGGUGUAAAGGGAGCGCAGGCGGGCGAUCAAGUUGGAAGUGAAAUCCAUGGGCUCAACCCAUGAACUGCUUUCAAAACUGGUCGUCUUGAGUAGUGCAGAGGUAGGCGGAAUUCCCGGUGUAGCGGUGGAAUGCGUAGAUAUCGGGAGGAACACCAGUGGCGAAGGCGGCCUACUGGGCACCAACUGACGCUGAGGCUCGAAAGUGUGGGUAGCAAACAGGAUUAGAUACCCUGGUAGUCCACACCGUAAACGAUGAUUACUAGGUGUUGGGAGAUUGACCCUCUCAGUGCCGCAGUUAACACAAUAAGUAAUCCACCUGGGGAGUACGACCGCAAGGUUGAAACUCAAAGGAAUUGACGGGGGCCCGCACAAGCAGUGGAGUAUGUGGUUUAAUUCGACGCAACGCGAAGAACCUUACCAAGUCUUGACAUCCCUUGACGAUGCUGGAAACAGUAUUUCUCUUCGGAGCAAGGAGACAGGUGGUGCAUGGUUGUCGUCAGCUCGUGUCGUGAGAUGUUGGGUUAAGUCCCGCAACGAGCGCAACCCUUAUGGUCAGUUACUACGCAAGAGGACUCUGGCCAGACUGCCGUUGACAAAACGGAGGAAGGUGGGGAUGACGUCAAAUCAUCAUGCCCUUUAUGACUUGGGCUACACACGUACUACAAUGGCGUUAAACAAAGAGAAGCAAGACCGCGAGGUGGAGCAAAACUCAGAAACAACGUCCCAGUUCGGACUGCAGGCUGCAACUCGCCUGCACGAAGUCGGAAUUGCUAGUAAUCGUGGAUCAGCAUGCCACGGUGAAUACGUUCCCGGGCCUUGUACACACCGCCCGUCACACCAUGAGAGCCGGGGGGACCCGAAGUCGGUAGUCUAACCGCAAGGAGGACGCCGCCGAAGGUAAAACUGGUGAUUGGGGUGAAGUCGUAACAAGGUAGCCGUAGGAGAACCUGCGGCUG
rnacentral:rRNA from 1 species